UGCAGGUGCUGCUGACAUCACCUCGUGUAUCAGGGACUGCAGCAGUGCUAAGGCUGUGCCCAUCUGGGGUUGGCUGUGACAAGCUCACUGGGGGGGAUGGAGGCAGAAAGGAGCUGAGCCGUGCUCCCCAGUGCUGUGGGUUCAGGCAUCUCACUGCUCUGCUGCUCUCACAGUGGUGUAGCAGCAGAUACACAGAGAUCAGAGCAAAUCACUGCCGAAGGGAGCAGGGGUCAGCAAUCACUUGGCUGUAUGUAGGAGGAGAUGGAACACAAUACUUGCUCCACAGCACGUAGAAAGACAGGUGAGGCCAAGUUGCAUCUACUCCUAUGAUAUGCUGCUACUGAACAUAUAGAUGCUUUUUGAACAAUUUGCUCUGAGUGCUGAUUUGCCUGGAUGUUACUGCAGCCAGAGAACAUCUGAAAGCAGGGAGCUUCUAUGCACGUGUAUGUGAAUACAUAUAUUGCUCUCAU